rnacentral:lncRNA from 1 species
CAAAAUGCACUAUUUGCUCAUCCAGUGCCCACAGUUUGCCCACCGGACGGCCCUGCUAGGUGGGAAGCUCCUUGCAGGCAGGAACCCCAUCUCCUUGACUUUACUUUGGAAUCCCCGCAGCCUCAUACGGGGCUGAGGCAGGUCCUUCCGUAAAAUGGAACUGAAUGAGCGGCGCUUAAUCCAUCCGCCAAAGGCCAGUCUCCCUUGGGUUUUCAACAGGUGGAGAAAUAUCAAAAGAAUCUGAAUAUCACCAUCUGGAAGUUGUGCCAUGGACUCCAGUGGGCAGGAUUCGAGCUGGGAUUCUCUUCUUCCUCUAGCAGUGUAUUUCUUCUGCUUAAAAUGAGCACAAACACAUCUAAUUCCCUAAUGGACCAACUCAGACCUAAAAGUCUCUUAUUCUUUGCCCGCCUUCCUCUACCCACAUGGAUUCCUGGGAUUCUCUAAAUGCAGAUGGCAAUGGGGAGGGCUGGGGAUUCCCAUCAAGGAUAUUUGAUCAUCGGUGACUUCACUUAACCAAUAAAUCAAACGUGUUGAAAUACACACAUGUCAGAAAUGUGGUAUGCUGUUACUCACUCAAAAGUCUGUUGGUCUGUCUUGGU